rnacentral:rRNA from 1 species
ACGGGAGGCAGCAGUAGGGAAUAUUGCACAAUGGGGGAAACCCUGAUGCAGCAACGCCACGUGUGGGAAGAAGCAUUUCGGUGUGUAAACCACUGUCGUGAGGGAAUAACGCUUGAUUUCGGUCAAGUUGAAUGUACCUCGAAAGGAAGCACCGGCAAACUUCGUGCCAGCAGCCGCGGUAAUACGAGGGGUGCAAGCGUUGUUCGGAAUCACUGGGCGUAAAGGGAGCGCAGGCGGAGAUGCAAGCGGACUGUACAAUCCCGGGGCCCAACCCCGGACCUGCAGUCCGGACUGCACCUCUUGGAUAGUUCAGGGGCAAGCGGAAUUCCUGGUGUAGCGGUGGAAUGCGUAGAUAUUAGGAGGAACACCAGUGGCGAAGGCGGCUUACUGGACUGUAACUGACGUUGAGGCUCGAAAGCGUGGGGAGCAAACAGGAUUAGAUACCCUGGUA